rnacentral:rRNA from 1 species
GACAGAGGGGGCAAGCGUUGCUCGGAAUCACUGGGCGUAAAGGGCGCGUAGGCGGGAUGGCAAGUCGGUCGUGAAAUCCUUCGGCUCAACCGAAGAACGUCGGCCGAUACUGCCGUUCUUGAGGGAUGCAGAGGAGAUUGGAAUUCCCGGUGUAGUGGUGGAAUGCGUAGAUAUCGGGAGGAACACCAGUGGCGAAGGCGGUUGCCUGGAGCUUUGCUGACGCUGAGGCGCGAAAGCGUGGGGAGCGAUCCGG